UGAAUCUUUCAAAUCAUUGAGACUUAAACACUGAUUUGAGUUCUGUGAAUAUUUUAUUUGAAUAGGAAGAUCUGAUGC
rfam:Medicago truncatula strain A17 chromosome 1, whole genome shotgun sequence.